rnacentral:rRNA from 1 species
UACGUAGGCAGCAAGCGUUGUUCGGAGUUACUGGGCGUAAAGGGUGUGUAGGCGGCUUCGUAAGUUCGGUGUGAAAUCUCCUGGCUUAACUGGGAGGGUGCGCCGAAAACUGCGGAGCUGGAGCGCAGGAGAGGAAAGCAGAAUUCCUGGUGUAGCGGUGAAAUGCGUAGAUAUCAGGAGGAACACCAAUUGCGAAGGCAGCUUGCUGGGACGGUACUGACGCUGGAGACGCGAAAGCGUGGGGAGCGAACAGG